rnacentral:rRNA from 1 species
AUGAACGCUAGCGGCAGGCCUAACACAUGCAAGUCGAGGGGCAGCGGGAGUGCUUGCACUCGCCGACGACCGGCGCACGGGUGCGGAACGCGUAUCGAAUCUGCCUCUAUCUGGGAGAUACCCCAUGGAAACGUGGAAUAAUACCCCAUAGUAUUACUUUAUCGCAUGAUUUAGUAAUUAAAGAAUUUCGGAUAGAGAUGACGAUGCGUAUCAUUAGCUAGUAGGUAAGGUAACGGCUUACCUAGGCAACGAUGAUUAGGGGUCCUGAGAGGGAGAUCCCCCACACUGGUACUGAGACACGGACCAGACUCCUACGGGAGGCAGCAGUGAGGAAUAUUGGACAAUGGUCGAAAGACUGAUCCAGCCAUGCCGCGUGCAGGAUGACUGCCCUAUGGGUUGUAAACUGCUUUUAUACGGGAAGAAAAACACCUACGUGUAGGUGACUGACGGUACCGUAAGAAUAAGGACCGGCUAACUCCGUGCCAGCAGCCGCGGUAAUACGGAGGGUCCAAGCGUUAUCCGGAAUCAUUGGGUUUAAAGGGUCCGUAGGCGGGCUAUUAAGUCAGAGGUGAAAGUUUGCAGCUCAACUGUAAAAUUGCCUUUGAUACUGAUAGUCUUGAAUUGUAGUGAAGUGGUUAGAAUAUGUGGUGUAGCGGUGAAAUGCAUAGAUAUCACAUAGAAUACCGAUUGCGAAAGGCAGAUCACUAACUAUAUAUUGACGCUGAGGGACGAAAGCGUGGGGAGCGAACGGGAUUAGAUACCCCGGUAGUCUACGCCGUAAACGAUGGAUACUAGCCGUUGGAUUUUUUCAGUGGCUAAGCGAAAGUGAUAAGUAUCCCACCUGGGGAGUACGUUCGCAAGAAUGAAACUCAAAGGAAUUGACGGGGGCCCGCACAAGCGGUGGAGCAUGUGGUUUAAUUCGAUGAUACGCGAGGAACCUUACCAGGGCUUAAAUGGGAAAUGACAGGGGCAGAGACGCCCCCUUCUUCGGACAUUUUUCAAGGUGCUGCAUGGUUGUCGUCAGCUCGUGCCGUGAGGUGUCAGGUUAAGUCCUAUAACGAGCGCAACCCCUACCGUUAGUUGCCAGCGUGUAAUGACGGGGACUCUAACGGAACUGCCGGUGCAAACCGUGAGGAAGGUGGGGACGACGUCAAAUCAUCACGGCCCUUACGUCCUGGGCCACACACGUGCUACAAUGGUAGGUACAGAGGGAAGCCACCCCGCGAGGGGGAGCGGAUCUAUAAAACCUAUCUCAGUUCGGAUCGGAGUCUGCAACUCGACUCCGUGAAGCUGGAAUCGCUAGUAAUCGGAUAUCAGCCAUGAUCCGGUGAAUACGUUCCCGGGCCUUGCACUCACCGC